rnacentral:rRNA from 1 species
GGACCCGCACAAGCGGUGGAGCAUGUGGUUUAAUUCGAUGCAACGCGAAAAACCUUACCUACUCUUGACAUACUUGGAAGCUCUUGUAAUGAGAGUGUGCCUUUUGGAACCAAGAUACAGGUGCUGCAUGGCUGUCGUCAGCUCGUGUCGUGAGAUGUUCCGUUAAGUCGGAUAACGAGCGCAACCCUUACCCUUAUUUGCCAGCGAUUCGGUCGGGAACUAUAAGGGGACUGCCGGUGAUAAACCGGAGGAAGGUGAGGACGACGUCAAGUCAUCAUGGCCCUUACGACCAGGGCUACACACGUGCUACAAUGGGAUGUACAAAGGGUUGCGACCCCGCGAGGGUGAGCUAAUCCCAUAAAACAUCUCGUAGUCCGGAUUGCAGUCUGCAACUCGACUGCAUGAAGUCGGAAUU